GAGACAGGGUCUCACUCCGUCACCCAGGCUGGAGUGCAGUGGAGCAAUCAUGGCUCACUGCAGCCUUGAACUCCUGGGCUUAAGCGCCCCUCCCACCUCAGCCUCCCUAGUAGCUAGGACUAUAGGCACAUAGCACCACACCCAGCUUGAGAAAGUCUUUAUUUCUACUUCAUUUUCGAAGAGUAAUUUUGCUGAGUACAGAAUUCUAGGUGGGUGGAUUUUUCUCUUUCAACACUUAAAUAUUUUAUUUCACUCCUUCUUGCUUGCUGGUUUCUGAAGAGAAACCUGGUAUAAUUCUUCUCCUCACUCCUUUAUAGGUAAGGAGGGAUUUUUUCCACUCUGGAUUCUUUCAAGAUUUUCUCUUUGUCUUUGAUUUUCUGCAGUUUGAAUAUGAUAAUACCUAAGUAUUAGCUGGGCAUGGUGUAAACCCUAGGUGUAGGGUUUUUUGGUAUGUAUCCUGCUUGGAGUUUUCUGAGUGUCCUGGAUCUAUGGUUUGGUGCUUGUCAUUAAUUCGGAAAAUUCUCAGCCAUUAUUACUUAAAUAUUUUGUUUUUCUUUUUUAUCUUUUUUGAGAUGGAGUCCCACUCUGUUGCACAUGCUGUAAUGCAGUGGUGUGAUCUCGACUCACUGCAACCUCUGCCUCCCAGAUUCAAGAGAUUCUCGUGCCUAAGCCACCCGAGUAGCUGGGAUUACAGGUGCGCGCCACCAAACCCAGCUUGUUUUUGCAUUUUUAGUAAAGAUAAGGUUUCACCAUGUUGGCCAGGCUGGUCUCAAACUCCUGGCCUCAAGUGAUCCACCUGCCUUGGCCUUCCAAAGUGCUGGGAUUGGGCCAGGUGUGGUGGCUCACGCCUAUAAUCCCAGCACUUUGGGAGGCCGAGGCAGGCGGAUUACGAGGUCAAGAGAUCGAGACCAUCCUGGCCAACAUGGUGAAACCCCGUGUCUACUAAAAAUACAAAAAUUAGCCAGGCGUGGUGGCAUGCACCUGUAGUCCCAGCUACUUGGGAGGCUGAGGCAGGAGAAUCGCUUGAACCUGGGACGUGGAGGUUGCAGUAAGCUGAGAUUGUGCCACUGCACUUCAGCCUGGUGACAGUGGGAGACUCCAUCUCAAAAAAAUAAAAUAAAAUAACAAAGUGCUGGGAUUACAGGCAUGAGACAUUGGGCCAUUGCACUCCAGCCUGGGGAACAAGGCUGAAACUGUCUCAAAAAAAAAAAAACAAAAAACAAAAUUAGCCAGGCAUGGUGGCGUGUGCGUGUAGUCCCAGCUGCUUGGGAGGCUGAGACAUGAGAAUCGCUUGAACCUGGGAGGUGGAGGUUGCAGUGAGUUGAGAUUGUGCCACUGCACUCCAGCCUGGGCGACAGAGCAAGACUCUGUCUCAAAAAAAAAAAAAAGUCAUUGAUAAUGCCCCUACAAAGUAGGUACUAUUAUUUUCCUCAUUUGAUAGGCGAGAAAACAGAAAAGUGGUUAUGUAACCUAUCCAAGGACAUUUGGAUUUAUGUGACAGAAGAGGGGUUUCAAUGUAAGCAUCUGGACUCCAGAAGUCACCCUCUUACUGCUGUGCUGUAAUGCAGUAGUCCUCAGCCUUUAUGGCACUAGGGACCAGUUUCAUGGAAGGCAAUUUUUCCAUAGAUGGCAGGGUGGGGGGAUGGUUUUAAGAUGAUUCGAAUACAUAACAUUCAUCAUUAGAUUCUCAUACCAGUCCGUGGCCCGGGGGUUGCGGACCCCUGCUGUAGUGCCUCUCCCAGUGUCCAAAUGCACAUUUAUCCUUUCAUUCAGCAAACACAUGUGUUAAGCAUUGUUCUAGGCACAGGAGAACAAGACAGACAAGGUCCCUGUCCUCAUAACGUGUAUAUUACAGUAGGAGAGACAGCAAAUGAACAUGUGAGCAAAUGAACAAACAAAUGUAUUCAGAGAGAGAAGGAUAUAAAGAAUUAAACAGAGUAACAUCACAUAGAGGCCCAAGGUGGGGCAUCUUUACAAAGUGUGGUCAGAGAAGACCUUGCUGAGGAGGUGGCAUUAGUGCUGAGACCUGAAGGAGAGGAGGGUAGAGGAAGAGCAUCCAGAGGGAGGAGUCAAAGCAAAAGCAGGAACGAGGAUGCUGUGUCCAAGGAGCAGAAAGAUGGCCAGCGUGGCUGGUCCAUGUGAGUGCAAGGCCAGAGCGGGGGAUGGGGGCCACAUCAGUGCAAGGCUCUGUCAGGCAGAGUUCAGAUAUUGUUCUACAUAUCACAGGAAGGCACUGCCAGGUCUUAGGCAGGGAGUGACAUGGCCUCAUGCGUUUCCAUGGCUUGAGUAAGCCUCAGACCACAGUCAGGAGACCCCAAAGAGUUUGCGCCUGUUUCAGGAUAAUAGACCAUCCCCCAAGGCUGGGUCUCUGGGGGGUGUGCAUGUCAAGGAGGGAGACUUGUGUGCGAGGCAGCACCCUCAAGUACAGCUCAUGCUGUUAGCAGCAGCAUGCAGUGGCGGUUGUGUAGAAGAGAACAAAACACCAGAACUUAAGUGCAGCUCAGGAAUCCUUAACCUUAUGUGGCUCUCUGUGGGUUCUAAGUCUCCCUUCAGAAAUCCUGUUUCAGUGUUGCCACCUUUCCUAGCCAUGAGCCUAAGCUUCAGAUGCACAACUUUUCUUCUGCACAUCAGAAACAGGUUUGCCCUCUUCCUUUCAAGAUGGGUGGGUGUUGUUGGUUUUCUCCUCCAUGUAAACAGGCAGCAGCAGAAGUGGUCCUGACCCAGAUGCCCUGACAGCUUUUCCUGGUGUGAUUUUGGAAGGUGAGAUUUGCACAUCAUGCCUCACAUUAUCUUCUUCCACAGCAUUUCACCAUCCAGGGCACAUUUGGAACAUUUGGAAGUCAUGUGAAAAGAGCAAAUAGCUUGGUCGUCUCUAAGCAGUGAAGACGGUGAUUUAUCAAUUCAUUAAAGCAUUGCCAUUCCAUGCAUGCUGCAUUGUAACCCCUUCCGUUAUGCGGAAUACUCCGACAAAGUGGUGCAGGUGGGAGGUGGCCUAGCAGGUGAGCGAAAGAGCAAGAAAGAGAGAGAGAAAGGAAACCAGGAAACUCUCCAGAGGCUGCUGCGUGGGCCCGGCAUCUGUAUUGGAAGAAAGACACUGUUUUGAAGGUGAAUUCCGCAUGCAGUCCUGUCAACUGGGAAUCUAUUUGGAAACAUAUUUUCAAGCUUUGCGUUUCAUCCUGUCUUCUUUUCCUAAAGAUCUUUAGAAGUGCUGCACACAGUGAACCUCCUUAAUCAUGUAUUUUCUCGCGACCUUUCUUUGUCUUAGAACCACAGAAGGUUAGAGCUGGGAUCACAGGAGGUUAGAAUUGGGGAACCUUAGAAGCCACGAGUCUAAUUCUUUUCUAACAGCUGAAUAAACUAAGGCCCAAAUGUCUGAGCUUAUUUUGUUUAUUUUCCCAAACCAUCUCCAAAAAUGUUUAUGGACAUUGAAGAAGACUGUAUUGCAAUGCAAUUCCUUGACAAGUCAUUUCUCCCUGUACCUGUCACCAGCCAUGUGGGAUGAGACAGCACAUUGUCAUUGCAUAUUCUUUAUUCCAUUGCUAGCCUGCCAGACACUCUUAUGCUGCUGCUUUCUAGGUUUCCCAACCCACUGAUUAUAUUGCAUUUUGGAUGAUUUCUCCCCCAGCUGCCUUCAUUUGCAUUUUUCUGAAAUCAAAUCUCAUUGUGAUAAUUUCUAUUCAUAUUUCUAACCUCUUUAGAUCCAUCUGUGUUAUUCCUCUUUCCUCAAUGAUGUCUGCAGCACCUCCUAAUUUAGUACCAAUCAGAAAUGUUAUUAACAAAAUGUGUAAGCCUUGUUCCCAGACAUUAAUGAAGAUACGAAAUGAAACAGAUCUAACAGAUACAGUGAGGCCUUCUGUUAGUGGCCUCUUCCCCACCCCUUUAUUAGAUAUUGAAUUGUUUUUCAUCAUUGGUCCUUGUUUAUCAAAGUUCAGGCUUUUCAAUCAUCCUGUUCCAAUUCCCAUUAAUGCCAGCCAGCGCUCUCGUCACGGGAUUAUCUCAGGAAUGCUGCCUCAAUGCCUUAUCACGCUCCAAAGAUACAAUGUCUACAGGAGUCAUUGAAUCAGCAGUUUUAAUUAAUGAUAAUAUUUAUUGAGUUUCAGAUGCCAAAUGGAAAUUUCUAGCUUUGCUUUUAAAAACUCUUUCAGAAGGCAGAAGCAUUUGAUUAUUUUUACCUUCUUCCAUUUGAAUAUUUCAUAGCUUUUCAUGUAAAUCUGCUGUUUUUAAUUACCACUACAUUUAAAAGUGCAUAAGCCACUAUGUGCUUAUGAAGAACACAAGUAAUAUCUAAGAAGUGGCCCUUGGAUGAGGAGCUUACAAUCUGAUAGAGCUGGCUAGACUUGUGUGCAAUAAAGACUCUUAUAAAAAGACAACGUGGCGUUAAAUUGCUCAAAAGUGUCACACUGACUUUUAGGGCUGCAGAAAUUUGAAUAUGGGCUAGGAUCAUUGGACAAAGCCUACUGCAGAAGGGGAGAUUUGAGCUGCACAUGAAAAGGAUUUGUCUAGGCAAAGAAGAAGAGGAGGGUAGGGAAAACAUCUGAGCAAAGGUAGGGAGAGAGGAAUGAUUAGAACAUACUGUAUAAGGUCACAGCAUAGUUAGAAAAUCACCCAGAUUGAAGAAGCUGACAGGGUAUAGUGUGUUACAAAUCUGGCUACCCAUGUGACAUCUCUUAUUGGAUGUCCUAACUUAGGCUUCGCAAACUCAGCAUGCCCCAAAUCAAAGUUGUGACUCUACCUUCUCCCCGAAAUUCUGUUCUUCUCCUAGCUUUCCCACCAGAAGUCUGGGUAUCAUCCAUGAUUUCUCCAUUUCCCUAAUUAUCGCUCACCAAUUUUUAAGCCAAUCCCUUCAGUUCUAUCACUAAAUUACAUCUUGAAUCUGCACACUUCUCAUUUUUACCACCUUUUAGUUCAAGAUCAACUUUUUUCCUAGGCUACUGCAAAAGCCUUCUGAACUGGUCUUCUGAUUCAAUGCUUGCCCCUCUCUAUAUUGUAGCCAGAGAGAGCUUAUUGGAAAUUAAACGACUCUCCAGCUAAAUAAAUAAAUAAAUAAAUAAAUAAAUAUUUCAGUGGCUUAGCAUUGUAUUUGGAAUGAAAUCCAACCUCACUGUUAUGUUCUAUGGGGCCCUGCGUGAUCAGGGCCUUGCACACCAGUUCUCUGUGUCCACCCCAAGUUGGUGUACUUCAGUGUAAUUCUGACACUAACCAUCCAGGGUUAACAUCAGAUCCCACAAGUUAAAGGCUGAGUGCUCCACAUGGCUGUCCCCACUUCAGACGCCUGCUGCAAGGGCUGCAGAACAGUAGUGGGGUCCCCAGGCUACCUGUACUUCUGAAUGACCAGUGAUAAGUUUGGGGGUUUCCACAAUCUCCUUAGGUUUGAUAAUUCACUAGAACAACAUGCAGAACUCAGGAAAGUCCUAUACUUACGAUUACAGUUAACCCUUGAACAGAAUGGGUUUGAACUGCGCAGCUUCACUUAAAUGCAUGGAUUUUCUUCUGCCUCCACCACCUCUGAGACAGCAAGAUCAGCCCCUCCUCCUCUCAGCCUACUCAAUGCGAAGAAGACAAGGAUGAAGACCUUUAUGAUGAUCCACUUCCACUUAAUGAAUAGUAAAUAUAUUUUCUCUUCUUA